rnacentral:rRNA from 1 species
CCCUUAGAUGUUCUGGGCCGCACGCGCGCUACACUGACGAAGUCAGCGAGCAUCUCCUACGCCGAAAGGUGCGGGGAAUCUUGUGAAACUUUGUCGUGCUGGGGAUUGAUUUUUGAAAUUCUUGAUCAUCAACGAGGAAUUCCUAGUAAGCGCAAGUCAGCAGCUUGCGUUGAUUACGUCCCUGCCCUUUGUACACACCGCCCGUCGCUACUACCGAUUGAAUGGUUUAGUGAGGUUUUUGGACUGGAACUCUCUUGUUCAGCAAUGAACGAGAGGGACUCUGGGAAGCUAUUCUAACUGUAUCAUUUAGAGGAAGUAAAAGUCGUAACA